rnacentral:rRNA from 1 species
GUGGGGAAUUUUGGACAAUGGGCGCAAGCCUGAUCCAGCAAUGCCGCGUGCAGGAAGAAGGCCUUCGGGUUGUAAACUGCUUUUGUACGGAACGAAACGGUCCGGGUUAAUACCCUGGGCUAAUGACGGUACCGUAAGAAUAAGCACCGGCUAACUACGUGCCAGCAGCCGCGGUAAUACGUAGGGUGCAAGCGUUAAUCGGAAUUACUGGGCGUAAAGCGUGCGCAGGCGGUGAUGUAAGACAGAUGUGAAAUCCCCGGGCUCAACCUGGGAACUGCAUUUGUGACUGCAUUGCUGGAGUGCGGCAGAGGGGGAUGGAAUUCCGCGUGUAGCAGUGAAAUGCGUAGAUAUGCGGAGGAACACCGAUGGCGAAGGCAAUCCCCUGGGCCUGCACUGACGCUCAUGCACGAAAGCGUGGGGAGCAAACAGGAUUAGAUACCCCGGUAGUCC